UCAAUCUCGUGCGGCUAGAAGCCGCUUGUCCCUCUAAGACGAGCAGCGCCGGGAGCGCGAGGAUCCCGGCGCCGAGUUAGCAGGUUAGAGUCUCGUUCGUUAU
rnacentral:rRNA from 1 species